rnacentral:rRNA from 1 species
UGAGUAACCUGCCCCAGACUCUGGGAUAACUUCGGGAAAUCGGAGCUAAUACCGGAUACGAGACGCACCUGCAUGGGUAGUGUCUGGAAAGAUUCAUCGGUCUGGGAUGGACUCGCGGCCUAUCAGCUUGUUGGUGAGGUAAUGGCUCACCAAGGCGACGGACGGGUAGCCGGCCUGAGAGGGCGACCGGCCACAGUUGGGACUGAGACACGGCCCAGACUCCGUACGGGGAGCAG